UCAUCGCCACCAUUUAACUGAAUAAUCUUUCAGGUUUUUGGUGUGCUUGGAAGAUUUCUUCCGAGCAGACAGGAUAAUAAAAAAUCUUACCCCUCGGAAGGCAACUUUCGAGGGGUUAUUUUA
rfam:Pasteurellaceae bacterium NI1060 genome.